CUAACGAGGAUUUCCUUAGUAACGGCGAGUGAAAAGGAAAAAGCCCAGCGCUGAAUCCAGUAGUGAAUUUUUAGCUAUUUGGAAAUGUAGCGUAUAGGUGUAAUUAAUCGUAACAUAUUUUUACACCCAAAGUCCCCUUGAGUGGGGCUACAGUCCAUAGAAGGUGCUAGACCUGUACGGGUGAGAAAAGUUACGAUAGAUUAUACUUUGGAGUCGGGUUGUUUGAGAUUGCAGCCUAAAGAGGGUGGUAAACCUCAUCUAAGGCUAAAUACGACCACGAGACCGAUAGCAAACAAGUACCGUGAGGGAAAGUUGCAAAGAACUUUGAAGAGAGAGUUCAAGAGGGCGUGAAACCGCUGAGAUGGAAACGGAUAGAGUUAACGAAACUUAUCGGUAUUCAACCGAUCAAUUUAGCAAUCUUUGAUUGAUUUAUUAUUCUUUGCAAUACAUGUUGUUUAUUAUGUGUAUUGUAAAUGAUUGGAGUAAAAUGAUAUCAAAGAUUAAAGUGCUAAAUUUUUUCAAAUAGAUUGGUGUAUUUACCGAUAGUAUGCAUCGAGAGCUUCGUUUAUAGCAUAUAUUUAAAGUAGUAUUUAGUGGACCAAUUAUUUUAAAUGCUAAUAAUUGGUAUCCUUAAAUAUGAUUAUUUAAAAUAUGUCUUAAAUGAAGUUUAUUAGUCCCCAAUUAAUGUAACUCUCAUUAUUAUCAAAAUAUGAUAAUAAUGACAUGCAUUGAUUGUAAUUUUGAUCAGUUAUAAUUAAAGAUGGUCGCAUGCGACUUAUUUGCUUUAAUUUAAUUGAUAAAAUUACAAUAUUAUAUGCGCGAGAAGAAUAUUUUAUGAGUUACAUCUCGAUGUGAACGUUAAUCACCUAUCUGACCCGUCUUGAAACACGGACCAAGGAGU
rnacentral:rRNA from 1 species